rnacentral:tRNA from 1 species
GCAGUGGUGGUUCAGUGGUAGAAUUCUUGCCCUCGAUGCGGGAGACCCGAGUUUGAUUCCCAGCCAGUGCA